rnacentral:rRNA from 1 species
GACGAACCGUACGAACGUUAUUCGGAAUCACUGGGCUUAAAGGGUGCGUAGGCGGUCGGGUAAGGCUGAUGUGAAAUCUCACAGCUUAACUGUGAAACUGCAUUGGAUACUAUCCGGCUAGAGGAAUGGAGGGGAGACUGGAAUACUUGGUGUAGCAGUGAAAUGCGUAGAUAUCAAGUGGAACACCAGUGGCGAAGGCGAGUCUCUGGACAUUUCCUGACGCUGAGGCACGAAAGCCAGGGGAGCAAACGGG